AUGUGGGCUGUUGGAGAAGGCUGUAUAUUACCUUCUAUACCUUCUGUGUAUUACCUUCUCCUAAGGCUGAUAAUAGAGGGUUUUUUUGGUGGCAACAUUUUCCCUGUGUUGUGUGACAGCAACCCAGCACUGGCAUACUUUGGCAGUGUAGCAGCUGAGAUGCAAGCAUGGAACUCCACAAAGGCACCAGGUUUGGUGGUCUCCAGGGCUUCCAGGAAGGAAGGCAAACCCCAUCACCAUACAGCUGGACAGGGGAAAGGAAGGCACCUUCCCAGAAGAGUUACAGCACAAAGUUCGCAGUUCCAAUGAAAUGAUGUCUGAGAAGUGCUGGAAAAGAAGCACAAGAGGAAAGACCAUCUCUGUGUGAACAUAGUCGACUUACCAUUCUAACGCCAGCGCUAUAGAAGCCUUCCCUCCACAUAAGCAGUCACCAGCAGGAGGAGGACCGGUGGAUUCAGCACAUGAGCAUUAACAGCACUGCAUUCUCUACCAGGUACUGAUAGAAGGCCUGGAAAUUAACAUCCCUCUCCCAGUAGAAAAAUAAAAUCUUUUCAGUUGAUUAGACCUUAACA
rnacentral:lncRNA from 1 species